CUUUAUAAAGGCUGCCUUGGUCAUGGUGUCUGUUCACAGCAGUAAACCCCUAACCAGUUUUUAUGUUUUUAUUCAUCUAAAUUGAAACAUCAACAUGUGGCCUGUGGAUACUCUAUUAGACAACAGCUCCUGGUUAGGUACCAGGAGGCCUCUUUCUGAGACUCAGCCGAUGCCUAUUAGAAAUUGCCACCCUGCAGUCUACGGGAUGCUCCUUGGCGCCAGCCAUGAAAUGUCUUUAGGUGAGACUGAGCCGCUUUAAUUCAUGGUAUCUCACUUUUUGCCAUAUUUGAAGCAGGGUUUUAGCCCCUGCCAUUAAUUAAGAACAGUGUAGAAACAAAAACAUUUCAAAGGAACGCGGGCCCUGGAUGUUAAGGCUGUCAUCUCUUUACAUGGCCUCAUGAUUCAACGAUUAAUGGACCUUAAAACAAUCAUAAAACAUCAAGGCCUCUGCUCAAGCUUACAACAGGGGUAGUUUUACUGAGGCUCCAAUCUUCUCGUUUGAAAUUCAUUGUGUGUCACGGGGCUCUGUAAACACUUUUAAGGAUUCUGACAUUGUGGUGUGAGAUGCUGUUAAUCUGUUCCCUCCCUGACCUUCAUUGGCUGGUGGUAUGGCGUGGCUGCGUGGAAAAUUCAUGAAAACAUCAAGGAUGCACUCUGUGACAUAGACUAGGGCACAAUAAACCUAAAUAAUGGCCAUUGUGUGCAGAUUCCGACUCAAUGAACUGACUCAGGGAAGAGUCUUUGAGCAACCCGGCUGUACCAGAGCCUCAGUGGCAGACACUUGCAUAUUGUAUUUUAUAUGCAUAACCUUUAGAACAACUGUAGGGGGUCAAUGUGAGAUCACCACCCCCCCCAUUUCACAGAUAUGCAUACUGAGGCCUGGACAUGUGGUUAAUAAGGGGCAGAGAUAGAAUUCAAAUUCAGGUAUCUCAUCCUUCUCAAAUAACUCUUUUUUUUCUUUUGUGCAACUACUACAUGCUAAAAGUUUGCAGAUGAUUGAAGAUACACCUUAUUUUUCUUUCCUUUUUUGAUUUUUUACAUGCCUGAGUCUUUAGCCUGCAUACAUAUAUAUAUAUAUGUAUAUAUAUACACACACACACACAUAUGCACACACACAUAUGCAGUACCCACAGAGACCAGAAAGGGACGAUGGACACUCCCUCCCCCCAAACUGGCUUUACAGAUGAUUAUGAACUGCCAUGUGGCUAUAAGGGUCUGAACCCAGGUCCUCUGCAAGAGCAGGAAGUGCUCAUAACUACUAAGCCAUCUCUCCAUCCCCUAGAUACACCACAUUUUCCAGGAGUGGUCACAGUGAUUUCCCACUGGCAUAUUCUUUUCGAGAACCAUCCCAUUGCCAUGUGAGAAGGUGGAACAUACUUCCUCUCCCCGUACACCUCCAUAGGCUUCUGGGUACACCUGGACAGGCUGAACAGAAGAAUCAGAGGUUCACGUGACUUCCACGGCUGAAUCAUGAAAGGCAAUGUAAAAUCUACUUGGCUCUUUCUUGGGAUGUGUACCCUGGAAGCCCAGUUGCCAUAUUUCAUAUUUGGAGGACGCCCUGGUUGCCUGAAAGCAUUGUAAAGUGUCACAGCCAAUGUCCAGCUUUGACACCUACUCUUUUGAUUGGACUUCCUUUAGAUGACCUCUGCCUUGAGUUAUUUUUGUCUUUUGCUUUUGUUUUGCCUUCAAGCAACUUCAGAUGGUGCAUGUGGGAGUGAACAAACUGUCCCCUUGGAGGCCUGCUGAAACAUGUCAUCAUAGAACAGGGCAGCUUGGGGUGCUGUGUGGAAGAUACAUCAGUAGUGACUAGAACAUGGUCGAACGUCACUGAAACUCGAGAAGAGGUCAUUGCUCCCAUUCCUCCAUCAACUACAGCUAUAGAGUCGUCUCUUCAGACCCAUUUGCUGUGUCUGGAUAACCUAAAACACCAAUGUGAAAUAUCCUUUUCUGUCCACCUUCAACAUGAUCCACAUCUGUGUCCAUUUGUGCUUGAGGAUCUCAGGACACUGGAAAAAAUGUAUCUGGCCACUCUCAAGUAUGUAUUUUUCCUUUACUGGGUAAAGUUCUUUUGGCUUCUUUAAGUAUUAAACAUUAAAUCAUCUCAUUAAUAAAAUUUGCAAUGUUAUA
rnacentral:sRNA from 1 species